UCAUAAAUAGUGGUCAGUUAA
rnacentral:piRNA from 1 species